rnacentral:sRNA from 1 species
GACGCCUUUUCCAGAGGCUGUGGACAGACGAAGACGAGAUCGAGCUUCUUCGUGGUU